GACGAACGCUGGCGGCGUGCUUAACACAUGCAAGUCGAACGCUGAAGCUCAGCUUUUGUUGGGUGGAUGAGUGGCGAACGGGUGAGUAACACGUGAGUAACCUGCCUCCUUCUUUGGGAUAACGCCCGGAAACGGGUGCUAAUACUGGAUAUUCACUGGUCUUCGCAUGGGGGCUGGUGGAAAGGGUUUUUCUGGUGGGGGAUGGGCUCGCGGCCUAUCAGCUUGUUGGUGGGGUGAUGGCCUACCAAGGCUUUGACGGGUAGCCGGCCUGAGAGGGUGACCGGUCACAUUGGAACUGAGAUACGGACCAGACUGCUACGGGCGGCAGCAGUGGGGAAUAUUGCACAAUGGGCGCAAGCCUGAUGCAGCGGCGCGGCGUGAGGGAUGGAGGCCUUCGGGUUGUGAACCUCUUUCGCUAAUGGUCAAACCGCAACAAUGGUUGUGGUGAGGGUACUGGGUAAAGAAGCGCCGGCUAACUACGUG
rnacentral:rRNA from 1 species